CACCCCGAAGGGAACCCCACUUUGGAGCCUGUCUCCCUCGGCUCGGCAGCAUCUCCAGGAAGUCAGCAGGAAGAGCAGGUGGCCUGAAGCACACCCGUGGACAGACAGACAGACAGACAGUGCAGUCACCCAUAAAGUAGAAAGCACUACUAACAGCACUGGAGGGUGUAGUGUUUCCUACUUUAUGGAUGAGUGUACUGUGGGCUUCGGAGACGACGCCGACGCCGCCGCCGCCGCGGCCACCUGCCACCGUCCUCCUCCACCAGGGUCAAGAAGACGGGUGAGCAUCUCUCCAACCCCCUCCCCCAUCUCACCAGCUCCCCCGCCCCGAGACUUUCACUGCGCCCCAAGCACUGUACUUCCUGACCCCCACCCCCCAGACAACUGUGGAAACAGCAGCACAGCAGCUCUCCCCAUGCAAGUCUGAGGAGAUGGGGUGGGGCAGGAUGCCCCACCGGCCGGCAGACUUGGGGGGAGGCCAGAAGGGAGGCCAGACGGACGGGGAUGGGUCGGGGUCACAGGGCCCUCAACACUAAUAAAGAAUGGACUUGUUUCUCCCUUU